CGCCCUAAACGAUGCAUAUNUGGUGUGGGCAGUUCAUUCUGUCCGUGCCGGAGCUAACGCGUUAAAUAUGCCGCCUGGGGAGUACAGUCGCAAGGCUGAAACUCAAAGGAAUUGACGGGGGCCCGCACAAGCGGUGGAGCAUGUGGUUCAAUUCGACGCAACGCGAAGAACCUUACCUGGGCUCGAACGGCUGGUCAACGGCCGGUGGAAACAUCGCUACCCCGCCAAGGGGGUCCAGUCGAGGUGCUGCAUGGCUGUCGUCAGCUCGUGUCGUGAGAUGUUGGGUUAAGUCCCGCAACGAGCGCAACCCUUGUCCUGUGUUGCCAUGUCGAAAGACGGAACUCGCAGGAGACCGCCCAGGGAUAACCUGGAGGAAGGUGGGGAUGACGUCAAGUCCUCAUGGCCUUUAUGUNCCAGGGCUACACGCGUGCUACAAUGGACGGUACAAAGCGCAGCAAACCCGCGAGGGGGAGCCAAUCGCAAAAAACCGUUCUCAGUUCGGAUUGCAGGCUGCAACUCGCCUGCAUGAAGCUGGAAUCGCUAGUAAUGGCAGAUCAGCACGCUGNCCGUGAAUACGUUCCCGGGCCUUGUACACACCGCCCGUCACAUCACGAAAGUGGGUUGUACUAGAAGUCUGCGCGCUGACCCGNAAGGGAGGCAGCGGCCCAAGGUAUGACUCAUGAUUGGGGUGAAGUCGUAANAAGGUACC
rnacentral:rRNA from 1 species